rnacentral:lncRNA from 1 species
UUACCAAUGAGUAUGUAGGUAGCUUGUGGUUUCACCUAGGUGCAGCCGCGAAUUAAUCUAUUACUUUCGUUGAGUUUAGUUUUGAAUAUGUCGGUGGGUUUGAAACCCAGUCGAGGUGAGAUUAAAUGCUUGUUUAUAUUUCAUUUUUACUGAAUGGUUGUGGUUAAAAUGUGUUUGUGGUUAUGGCGGGUCUGAAACCCGUUUGGAUCGAUAAUUG